UUUUCUGAUAAUUGUAAUUUUGAUGAAUUUUUUUUCAAGUAAUUGGUUUUUGGUGGAGUUCUCAUAUAUCUAGGCUGUAUAUUUUAUAAGAUGCCUUUGUAUUUUGUUAGUUGUAACAUUAUUUACAUACCGUGGAGAUUUGAACAUAUCUUUCAUUUUUUGUGUACCAAUUGUUCAAUGGCAAAGUUUAUAUUUGGUGUGCGUUUGACCAAGCAUCUGUGCUAAUGGUUCUCUUAAAUUCUUUUUGUAGUUGUUCUUGCUUACUUUGAGCUUCAAGUAUUCGAUAGGUCAUCUUAUAUUUCUAAUGGAUAUCUUGGAAACGUGUGCUCAUGAAAAGCCUCAUUUGCUUAACACUGAAAAUAGCUCCGAAAGUACAAUUGAGUCACAAAAUGCAUUUAUUCGCCAACAACAAAAUCAAAGAUGAAGAGAUCGGUGAAAUCAAGCUCGAGUUGGGUCCAUUGAUCAUCACAGAAGGAUAACUGUGUCUAUGUUAUCUAAAAAUAAUAAUUUCCAUUUUUUCCAUAUGCAUGAAUCUACAACGCAUCAUCAUUUUGAGGCUUCUUCUUCGAACAACGAAAUGCCCAAUAUUUCUAAUCCUGAAUUACAGGGAAGUUUUAACUUAUUGAAUGUACCAGGUGUUGCACAUGUAUUACCGACAUGAAUUUAUUAUAAAUAUUGUGGUGCAAAAAAAUUUUAUAGGGAAAGAAAAGGUUUCUGUUGUUCUGAUGGAAAAGUUAAACUGUGCAUGUCCGAUUCACCAACUGAAUUAUACAACUUGUUUACCUCUAAAGAACCUACAUGUUUGGAAUUCAAAAAAAUUGCGAGGG
rnacentral:lncRNA from 1 species